rnacentral:rRNA from 1 species
UGGAUCACGAUGAACGCUGGCGGCGUGCCUAAGACAUGCCAGUCGAGCGAGGAAGCUCAUUGUCGGGGAGUACAUCACGCGGCGAACUGGGUGAGUAACACCGUGGGUGACCUAGGCUCGAAGACGGGGAUAACGCCUGGAAACAGGAGCUAAUACCCGACGAGCUCGAUAGUUCGUUCUAUCGAGUAAACGCUCACGCGCUUCGAGAUGGGCCCGCGGCCUAUCAGCUAGUUGUUACGGUAAUGGCCUACCAAGGCGAAGACGGGUAUGUGGCGUGAGAGCUUAAGCCCCCACAGUGGCGCUGACAUACGGGCCAUACUCCUACUGGAGGCAGCAGUGACGGAUAUUGCGCAAUAGAGGACACUCCGACGCUGCGACGCCGGGUGGGUCACGAAGGCCGUACGUGUUGUAAAUCCCUCAUCUGGGGAACUAGAAAGGACGGUACCCCAGCGAAUAAGCCCCGGCUAACUACAUGCCAGCGGCCGCGGUAUCUCGUACGGGGCGAGCGUCCUCCGGAGUGUCUGGGCGUAUAGAGCGUUGAGGCGGCUUUGCCCGUUGGGCGUGCAGCCCCCGGGCCCAACCCGGGGAAGCCGUGCUUUACUGCAUGACUUGCGGGCAGCUCAGGGAGGUGGAA